rnacentral:rRNA from 1 species
AAAAGAAACCAACAGGGAUUGCCCCAGUAACGGCGAGUGAAGCGGCAACAGCUCAAAUUUGAAAUCUGGCCCCCGGGUCCGAGUUGUAAUUUGCAGAGGAUGCUUCGGGCGAGGUGCCUUCCGAGUUCCCUGGAACGGGACGCCACAGAGGGUGAGAGCCCCGUCUGGUCGGACACCGAGCCCGUGUGAAGCUCCUUCGAAGAGUCGAGUAGUUUGGGAAUGCUGCUCAAAACGGGAGGUAUAUGUCUUCUAAAGCUAAAUAUUGGCCAGAGACCGAUAGCGCACAAGUAGAGUGAUCGAAAGAUGAAAAGCACUUUGAAAAGAGGGUUAAAAAGUACGUGAAAUUGUUGAAAGGGAAGCGCCCAUGACCAGACUUGGGCCCGGUGAAUCACCCGGCGUUCUCGCCGGUGCACUUUGCCGGGCACAGGCCAGCAUCAGUUUGGCGCGGGGGAGAAAGGCUUCGGGAACGUGGCUCCCUCGGGAGUGUUAUAGCCCGCUGCGCAAUACCCUGCGCCGGACUGAGGUACGCGCAUCGCAAGGAUGCUGGCGUAAUGGUCAUCAGCGACCCGUCUUGAAACACGGACCAAGGAGUCGUCUUCGUAUGCGAGUGUUCGGGUGUCAAACCCCUACGCGGAAUGAAAGUGAACGCAGGUGAGAGCUUCGGCGCAUCAUCGACCGAUCCUGAUGUUCUCGGAUGGAUUUGAGUAAGAGCAUACGGGGCCGGACCCGAAAGAAGGUGAACUAUGCCUGUAUAGGGUGAAGCCAGAGGAAACUCUGGUGGAAGCUCGCAGCGGUUCUGACGUGCGAAUCGAUCGUCAAAUAUGGGCAUGGGGGCGAAAGACUAAUCGA